rnacentral:rRNA from 1 species
CUGAACAGGGCGAUAAGUUGCUUGCAUAGGGCCCGAAACCGGGUGACCUAUCCAUGUCCAGGUUGAAGUGGGAGUAAAAUCCCAUGGAGGACCGAACCGACCCCCGUUGAAAUGGUGGCGGAUGAGGUGUGGAUAGCGGAGAAAUUCCAAUCGAACCCGGAGAUAGCUGGUUCUCCCCGAAAUAGCUUUAGGGCUAGCGUUGUGAAUGAUUACCGGAGGUAAAGCACUGAAUGAUGGAGGGGCCGAGAGGUUACCAAAAUCUAUCAAACUAAGAAUGCCGGAUAAUUGAAUCACAGCAGUCAGACAGUGUGAGAUAAGUCUCAUUGUCAAAAGGGAAAAAGCCCAGACCCACAGCUAAGGUCCCAAAGGAAUGUUAAGUGGAGAAGGAUGUGGAGUUGCGAAAACAACCAGGAUGUUGGCUUAGAAGCAGCCACUCAUUUAAAGAGUGCGUAAUAGCUCACUGGUCGAGUGACUCUGCGCCGAAAAUGUAACGGGGCUAAACAUGACACCGAAGCUUGGGAUACCGCAAGGUAUGGUAGGGGAGCGUUGUGUACGGGGUGAAACAUGAGCGGAAGCGCGUGUGGACUGUACAGAAGUGAGAAUGCCGGAAUGAGUAGCGCGAUUUAUGUGAGAAUCAUAAAGGCCGAAAGCCUAAGGUUUCUGGAGGAAGGUUCGUCCGCUCCAGGUAAGUCGGGAGCUAAGGUGAGGCCGAGAGGCGUAGCCGAUGCACAUACGGUAGAAAUUCCGUAACCGUCGAAGUAUUUAAGCAAAGGGACACUGAGGAAGUGUAUGACCCGGGCGAUGGUAGCCCCGGGCGAAAGGGACCGAAAUUUAGUAGGGAAGCAUGCAUGGAAACAGGCGAGAAAAGCUUUGUGAAUAUACAAGAUGCCCGUACCGCAAACCGACACAGGUAGGUAGGAAGAGAAUUCUAAGGCCAACGGGAGAAGUGUUGUUAAGGAACUCGGCAAGUUGACCCCGUAACUUCGGAAGAAGGGGUGCUCUGGAAACAGAGCCGCAGAGAAUAGGUCCAGGCGACUGUUUAGCAAAAACACAGCUCUAUGCUAAAUCGGAAGAUGAUGUAUAUGGGGUGACGCCUGCCCGGUGCUGGAAGGUUAAGAGGAGGAGUGAGAGCCCCGAAUCGAAGCCCCAGUAAACGGCGGCCGUAACUAUAACGGUCCUAAGGUAGCGAAAUUCCUUGUCAGGUAAGUUCUGACCCGCACGAAUGGCGUAACGAUCUGGACACUGUCUCAACAGCCCGCCCGGCGAAAUUGUAGUACCGGUGAAGAUGCCGGUUACCCGCGACAAGACGGAAAGACCCCAUGGAGCUUCACUGCAGCUUAAUAUUGGAUUUCGGUAUUUCAUGUACAGCAUAGGUGGGAGGCAGAGAAACUAGGACGCCAGUCUUAGCGGAGCCGUCGUUGGGAUACCACUCUUGAAGUGCUGAAAUUCUAACCUGGAGCCAUGAAACUGGCUCGGGGACAUUGUUAGGUGGGCAGUUUGACUGGGGCGGUCGCCUCCAAAAAGGUAACGGAGGCGCUCAAAGGUUGGCUCAGCAUGGAUGGAAACCAUGCAAAAGAGUGUAAACGCAGAAGCCAGCCUAACUGCGAGACGGACAGGUCGAGCAGUAACGAAAGUUGGAGUUAGUGAUCCGGUGGUAU